rnacentral:rRNA from 1 species
GAUGAACGCUGGCGGCGUGCCUAAUACAUGCAAGUCGAGCGAACGGACGAGAAGCUUGCUUCUCUGAUGUUAGCGGCGGACGGGUGAGUAACACGUGGAUAACCUACCUAUAAGACUGGGAUAACUUCGGGAAACCGUAGCUAAUACCGGAUAAUAUUUUGAACCGCAUGGUUCAAAAGUGAAAGACGGUCUUGCUGUCACUUAUAGAUGGAUCCGCGCUGCAUUAGCUAGUUGGUAAGGUAACGGCUUACCAAGGCAACGAUGCAUAGCCGACCUGAGAGGGUGAUCGGCCACACUGGAACUGAGACACGGUCCAGACUCCUACGGGAGGCAGCAGUAGGGAAUCUUCCGCAAUGGGCGAAAGCCUGACGGAGCAACGCCGCGUGAGUGAUGAAGGUCUUCGGAUCGUAAAACUCUGUUAUUAGGGAAGAACAUAUGUGUAAGUAACUGUGCACAUCUUGACGGUACCUAAUCAGAAAGCCACGGCUAACUACGUGCCAGCAGCCGCGGUAAUACGUAGGUGGCAAGCGUUAUCCGGAAUUAUUGGGCGUAAAGCGCGCGUAGGCGGUUUUUUAAGUCUGAUGUGAAAGCCCACGGCUCAACCGUGGAGGGUCAUUGGAAACUGGAAAACUUGAGUGCAGAAGAGGAAAGUGGAAUUCCAUGUGUAGCGGUGAAAUGCGCAGAGAUAUGGAGGAACACCAGUGGCGAAGGCGACUUUCUGGUCUGUAACUGACGCUGAUGUGCGAAAGCGUGGGGAUCAAACAGGAUUAGAUACCCUGGUAGUCCACGCCGUAAACGAUGAGUGCUAAGUGUUAGGGGGUUUCCGCCCCUUAGUGCUGCAGCUAACGCAUUAAGCACUCCGCCUGGGGAGUACGACCGCAAGGUUGAAACUCAAAGGAAUUGACGGGGACCCGCACAAGCGGUGGAGCAUGUGGUUUAAUUCGAAGCAACGCGAAGAACCUUACCAAAUCUUGACAUCCUUUGACAACUCUAGAGAUAGAGCCUUCCCCUUCGGGGGACAAGGUGACAGGUGGUGCAUGGUUGUCGUCAGCUCGUGUCGUGAGAUGUUGGGUUAAGUCCCGCAACGAGCGCAACCCUUAAGCUUAGUUGCCAUCAUUAAGUUGGGCACUCUAAGUUGACUGCCGGUGACAAACCGGAGGAAGGUGGGGAUGACGUCAAAUCAUCAUGCCCCUUAUGAUUUGGGCUACACACGUGCUACAAUGGACAAUACAAAGGGCAGCGAAACCGCGAGGUCAGGCAAAUCCCAUAAAGUUGUUCUCAGUUCGGAUUGUAGUCUGCAACUCGACUACAUGAAGCUGGAAUCGCUAGUAAUCGUAGAUCAGCAUGCUACGGUGAAUACGUUCCCGGGUCU